UACGAAGGGGGCUAGCGUUGCUCGGAAUCACUGGGCGUAAAGGGUGCGUAGGCGGGUCUUUUAAGUCAGGGGUGAAAUCCUGGAGCUCAACUCCAGAACUGCCUUUGAUACUGAGGAUCUUGAGUUCGGGAGAGGUGAGUGGAACUGCGAGUGUAGAGGUGAAAUUCGUAGAUAUUCGCAAGAACACCAGUGGCGAAGGCGGCUCACUGGCCCGUUACUGACGCUGAGGCACGAAAGCGUGGGGAGCAAACAGG
rnacentral:rRNA from 1 species